rnacentral:rRNA from 1 species
UACGUAGGGUGCAAGCGUUGUCCGGAAUUAUUGGGCGUAAAGAGCUCGUAGGCGGUCUGUCGCGUCUGCUGUGAAAACCCGGGGCUUAACUUCGGGCUUGCGGUUGAUACGGGCGGGCUGGAGUUCGGUAGGGGAGACUGGAAUUCCUGGUGUAGCGGUGAAAUGCGCAGAUAUCAGGAGGAACACCGGUGGCGAAGGCGGGUCUCUGGGCCGAUACUGACGCUGAGGAGCGAAAGCGUGGGGAGCGAACAGG